GAUGGUGUUUGUAUGGUAAAAAGAUGGUGUUUCGGAUGGAAUAACAUUUACAUGAAAAUUAGGCAUGUUUGGUGGAAGAGAAUGGUAAGCAUAUUUAGAAAACAAUUACAUGCUGCAUCUAGGAAAACAAUCCAGCAUUCAGCAAUUGCUCUUCCUAAUUUUUGCUUGUUUGGUUAAAGAACAAAUCUCACAAGUUAAUAAGCACAGAAAUGGUGCAGACGUAGAGCUCCAAUGUUCUGAUCAGUUCUCUGCACAGAAAUGGUGCUUUCCCUUCUCACUUCUUUGAGCUUUGAUGAAGCUGGUAGCUUGUGUAGAUGGGGCAUCCGUGUGAGGAUGGUUUAGUAAGAGAUCCCUUUUGGGGUUGUUGACUUCUAUUAUCUUGUCAUUUGAUGUUUUUCCUAGUGGAUUUGUAGUGAUAGAAAUGGGUUUUCUUAGUCUGCUUUGGGUUUGUUGUGAGUUUUAGGACAAGAAGGAAGGGCAGGUUGCAGAGAAAGCCGGGACCAAUGAAAUCGAUGUCCAUAGUGAUGCUGGGAGAGAAGAAGACGAUGUGGUGGUGGAGAUCCAUGCAGGGUUCAAGCCGGUAGAUCCCUUCUGAAUGUUCGAAGUCCUCUGAUGGUUCUGCAAGGCAGAUGAGGGAAGUUGCAUGUCCCACCUGCACAGUCCAUCUUCAGGUUCAAGUUCCAGCCUCGGGGUCUGAAACAAUAGAAUGUGGUGUGCGCCAGCACCCAUUCCUGGUUGGUGCUCAUUGAUGUCUUCUGAUUUUAUCACAUCGUGGUAAUGCAUCCGACUGAGCUUCAGGAAAUUUUCUGUGUCACAGCUAAUAGGCUCGGUUACCGGCUUUGUAUAUUCAUUAAUAUGGUCAUGUUUUACUCAUUAGACUUGGUGGUUCUUUGUAUAUGAAUCUUCUUUGAGCAGGCAUAUUUGGGAUCGUCAAGUGUGUUAAGUGGGUUCGGAUGACUGGAAACUAAUUUAAAAUGCUUGGAUGGUUUUAUUUGUU